ensembl:scaRNA Scarna17 small Cajal body-specific RNA 18
CUGCCAAUGAUGACAUGACCACUGCGCAAUCUGAGUUCUGGGAACCAGGUGAUGGAGUGUGCUGAGAACACUGAGGCCA